AUGAUUAGGGAUUUUUGGUGGGGCGAUGAAGAAGGCCACAAAAAGGUACACUGGAUGUCAUGGGAACGAAUGACAAAACCGAAAAGGGCAGGGGGCAUUGGAUUCAAAGAUAUGCAUUUAUUUAACCAAGCGCUCCUAGCCAAGCAAGGGUGGCGGCUGGUCCAGAAUCCAAACAGCCUAUGCGGGAGAGUCCUUAAGUCCAAAUAUUACCCUCCCGGUAACCUUCUGGACACAGUGUUUGCGACUGAUGCAUCCCCAGUUUGGAGAGCAAUAGAGUUUGGCCUCGAGCUUCUGAAAAAGGGUCUAAUAUGGAGAGUGGGAGAUGACCAGAAGAUCCAAAUAAAACGCGACCAAUGGAUCCCACGACGAGAGGGACUCAUGACAGCAGCAUUCAUAAGGAGAUCUCGGAUCAGAUAG
rnacentral:rRNA from 1 species